rnacentral:rRNA from 1 species
CUACAAAGGAAUUGACGGGACCCGCACAAGCAGCGGAGCAUGUGGUUUUAAUUCGAAGCAACGCGAAGAACCUUUACCAGAUCUUGACAUCCAAUUGACCAUCUUUUAAUCGAGAUUUUGCCUUCGGGUACAAUUGAGCAGGUGGUGCAUGGUUGUCGUCAGCUCGUGUCGUGAGAUGUUGGGUUAAGUCCCGCAACGAGCGCAACCCUUUGUGUUUUAGUUGCAAACAGGUCAAGCUGUGCACUCUAGACAGACUGCCGUGGACAACACGGAGGAAGGUGGGGAUGACGUCAAAUCAUCAUGCCCCUUAUGAUCUGGGCUACACACGUGCUACAAUGGCCGGUACAACGGGCAGCGAAGGAGCGAUCCGGAGCGAAUCCUAAAAAGCCGGUCCCAGUUCGGAUUGCAGGCUGAAACUCGCCUACAUGAAGUUGGAGUUGCUAGUAAUCGCGAAUCAGAAUGUCGCGGUGAAUGCGUUCCCGGGUCUU